AAAUGACUCUCGGCAACGGAUAUCCCGGCUCUCGCAUCGAUGAAGAACGUAGCGAUGCGACACUUGGUGUGAAUUGCAGAAUCCCGUGAACCAUCGAGUCUUUGAACGCAAGUUGCGCCUGAAGCCAUUAGGCCGAGGGCACGUCUGCCUGGGUGUCACAC
rnacentral:rRNA from 1 species